rnacentral:rRNA from 1 species
CCUACGGGAGGCAGCAGUGAGGAAUAUUGGUCAAUGGACGAGAGUCUGAACCAGCCAAGUAGCGUGAAGGAUGACUGCCCUAUGGGUUGUAAACUUCUUUUAUAUGGGAAUAAAACGUUCCACGUGUGGGAUUUUGUAUGUACCAUAUGAAUAAGGAUCGGCUAACUCCGUGCCAGCAGCCGCGGUAAUACGGAGGAUCCGAGCGUUAUCCGGAUUUAUUGGGUUAAAGGGAGCGUAGGUGGAUUGUUAAGUCAGUUGUGAAAGUUUGCGGCUCAACCGUAAAAUUGCAGUUGAAACUGGCAGUCGUGAGUACAGUAGAGGUGGGCGGAAGUCGUGGUGUAGCGGUGAAAUGCUUAGAUAUCACGAAGAACUCCGAUUGCGAAGGCAGCUCACUGGACUGCAACUGACACUGAGGCUCGAAAGUGUGGGUAUCAAACAGGAUUAGAUACCCUGGUAGUC